rnacentral:rRNA from 1 species
GUGGGGAAUCUUCCGCAAUGGACGAAAGUCUGACGGAGCAACGCCGCGUGAGUGAUGAAGGUCUUCGGAUUGUAAAGCUCUGUUAAUCGGGACGAAAGAGCCUAGUGUGAAUAAUGCUAGGAAGUGACGGUACCGGAAUAGAAAGCCACGGCUAACUACGUGCCAGCAGCCGCGGUAAUACGUAGGUGGCAAGCGUUGUCCGGCAUUAUUGGGCGUAAAGCGCGCGCAGGCGGAUCUGCCAGUCUGUCUUAAAAGUUCGGGGCUUAACCCCGGGAUGGGAUUGAAACUAUAGAUCUAGAGUAUCGGAGAGGAAAGUGGAAUUCCUAGUGUAGCGGUGAAAUGCGUAGAUAUUAGGAAGAACACCAGUGGCGAAGGCGACUUUCUGGACGAAAACUGACGCUGAGGCGCGAGAGCCAGGGGAGCGAACGGGAUUAGAUACCCUAGUAGUCC